CACGUAGGCGGACUUUUAAGUCAGGGGUGAAAUCCCGGGGCUCAACCCCGGAACUGCCUUUGAUACUGGAAGUCUUGAGUAUGGCAGAGGUGAGUGGAACUGCGAGUGUAGAGGUGAAAUUCGUAGAUAUUCGCAAGAACACCAGUGGCGAAGGCGGCUCACUGGGCCAUUACUGACGCUGAGGCACGAAAGCGUGGGGAGCAAACA
rnacentral:rRNA from 1 species